GACGAACGCUGGCGGCGUGCUUAACACAUGCAAGUCGAACGAUGAAGCCUAGCUUGCUAGGUGGAUUAGUGGCGAACGGGUGAGUAAUACGUGAGUGACCUACCUUUGACUCUGGGAUAAGCCUGGGAAACUGGGUCUAAUACCGGAUACGACCAAUCUCUGCAUGGGGUGUUGGUGGAAAGCGUUAUGGAGUGGUUUUAGAUGGGCUCACGGCCUAUCAGCUUGUUGGUGAGGUAAUGGCUUACCAAGGCGACGACGGGUAGCCGGCCUGAGAGGGUGACCGGCCACACUGGGACUGAGACACGGCCCAGACUCCUACGGGAGGCAGCAGUGGGGAAUAUUGCACAAUGGGCGCAAGCCUGAUGCAGCGACGCCGCGUGAGGGAUGACGGCCUUCGGGUUGUAAACCUCUGUUAGCAUCGAAGAAGCGAAAGUGACGGUAGGUGCAGAGAAAGCGCCGGCUAACUACGUGCCAGCAGCCGCGGUAAUACGUAGGGCGCGAGCGUUGUCCGGAAUUAUUGGGCGUAAAGAGCUUGUAGGCGGUUGGUCGCGUCUGCUGUGAAGGCCGGGGCUUAACUCCGGUUUUGCAGUGGGUACGGGCUAACUAGAGUGCAGUAGGGGAGACUGGAAUUCCUGGUGUAGCGGUGGAAUGCACAGAUAUCAGGAGGAACACCGAUGGCGAAGGCAGGUCUCUGGGCUGUAACUGACGCUGAGAAGCGAAAGCAUGGGGAGCGAACAGGAUUAGAUACCCUGGUAGUCCAUGCCGUAAACGUUGGGCACUAGGUGUGGGGGACAUUCCACGUUUUCCGCGCCGUAGUUAACGCAUUAAGUGCCCCGCCUGGGGAGUACGGCCGCAAGGCUAAAACUCAAAGGAAUUGACGGGGGCCCGCACAAGCGGCGGAGCAUGCGGAUUAAUUCGAUGCAACGCGAAGAACCUUACCAAGGCUUGACAUGCAUUAGAUCGCGUCAGAGAUGGCGUUUCCCUUCGGGGCUGGUGUACAGGUGGUGCAUGGUUGUCGUCAGCUCGUGUCGUGAGAUGUUGGGUUAAGUCCCGCAACGAGCGCAACCCUCGUUCUAUGUUGCCAGCGGUUCGGCCGGGGACUCAUAGGAGACUGCCGGGGUUAACUCGGAGGAAGGUGGGGAUGACGUCAAAUCAUCAUGCCCCUUAUGUCUUGGGCUUCACGCAUGCUACAAUGGCCGGUACAGAGGGUUGCGAUACUGCGAGGUGGAGCUAAUCCCUUAAAGCCGGUCUCAGUUCGGAUUGGGGUCUGCAACUCGACCCCAUGAAGUCGGAGUCGCUAGUAAUCGCAGAUCAGCAACGCUGCGGUGAAUACGUUCCCGGGCCU
rnacentral:rRNA from 1 species